rnacentral:tRNA from 1 species
GCCUGGGUGGCUCAGUCGGUUGAGCAUCUGACUUCAGCUCAGGUCAUGAUCUCACGGUCCGUGAGUUCGAGCCCCGCGUCGGGCU